rnacentral:rRNA from 1 species
UAACAAGAUCUCUUGUUCUGCAUCGAUGAAAACGCAGCGAAAUGCAUAAGUAAUGUGAAUUGCAGAAUUCAGUGAAUCAUCGAAUCUUUGAACGCACAUUGCGCCCGCCAGCAUUCUGGGCAUGCCUUU